rnacentral:rRNA from 1 species
CAAUAGCGUAUAUUUAAGUUGUUGCAGUUAAAAAGCUCGUAGUUGGAUUUCGGGUGUGAACGACCGGUCCGUCUUUGAUGUGUACUGGUUGGUUGCGCCUUAUUGUCGAGGACGUGGUUCUAGCUUUCAUUAGCCGGGACACGGAGUCGGCAGCGUUACUUUGAGAAAAUUAGAGUGUUCAAAGCAGGCUAUCGCUCUGAAUACCACAGCAUGGAAUAACACGAUAGGACUCCGAGCCUAUUCUGUUGGUCUUCGGGACCGGAGUAAUGAUUAAGAGGGACAGUUGGGGGCAUUCGUAUUCCGAUGUCAGAGGUGAAAUUCUUGGAUUAUCGGAAGACGAACAUCUGCGAAAGCAUUUGCCAAGGAUGUUUUCAUUAA